rnacentral:lncRNA from 1 species
AUUUUCUGAUUUUUAAUUCUUUUAUUUCUUUUACUUCCAUUUCUCUUUAAAAAUUCAUAUCUCUCUCCUUAUAGGUCCAAAAAUUAUGGGACCAAUUUCAUUCUUCUCCUUUUAAUUUCUACUUCCUAAAAAUGAUUUUUAAUAUUUUUUAUUCUAUCAUUUGAUAUUUUUUAGUAAGUUUCUGUUGUCUGCUUAUUUUUAAUUGAUUUAAAA